GGAAGCGUGGUCUAAUGGUAUGAUACUGUGCGAUGGAUCACUUCAUUCGCUUGUGUGGUCCAUCUCUCGCUUCGCACAGUGAUGUUGGUUCGAAUCCAGUCGCGUCCA